GAGGGUACAGCUCAGUGGUAGAGUGUGUGCUUAGCAAUGAGGUCCUGGGUUCAAUCCCUAGUACCUCCA
rnacentral:tRNA from 1 species